UAUUGGUCAAUGGGCGCGAGCCUGAACCAGCCAAGUAGCGUGAAGGAUGACGGCCCUAUGGGUUGUAAACUUCUUUUAUAUGGGAAUCAAGUUUUCCACGUGUGGAAUUUUUUAUGUACCAUAUGAAUAAGGAUCGGUUAACUCCGUUCCAGCAGCCGCGGUAAUACGGAGGAUCCGAGCGUUAUCCUGAUUUAUUGGGUUUAAAGGGAGCGUAGGUAGAUUGUUAAGUCAGUUGUGAAAGUUUGCGGCUCAACCGUAAAAUUGCAGUUGAAACUGGCAGUCUUGAGUACAGUAGAGGUGGGCGGAAUUCGUGGUGUAGCGGUGAAAUGCUUAGAUAUCACGAAGAACUCCGAUUGCGAAGGCAGCUCACUGGACUGUUGACUGACACUGAGGCUCGAAAGUGUGGGUAUCAAA
rnacentral:rRNA from 1 species